CACGUAGGGCGCAAGCGUUGUCCGGAAUUAUUGGGCGUAAAGAGCUCGUAGGCGGUUUGUCGCGUCUGCCGUGAAAGUCCGGGGCUCAACUCCGGAUCUGCGGUGGGUACGGGCAGACUAGAGUGAUGUAGGGGAGACUGGAAUUCCUGGUGUAGCGGUGAAAUGCGCAGAUAUCAGGAGGAACACCGAUGGCGAAGGCAGGUCUCUGGGCAUUAACUGACGCUGAGGAGCGAAAGCAUGGGGAGCGAAACAGG
rnacentral:rRNA from 1 species